UACAGAGGGUGCAAACGUUGCUCGGAAUCAUUGGGCGUAAAGAGCUCGUAGGCGGUGUGUCACGUCGGCCGUGAAAACCUGCAGCUUAACUGUGGGCGUGCGGUCGAUACGGGCAUCACUGGAGUUCGGCAGGGGAGACUGGAAUUCCUGGUGUAGCGGUGAAAUGCGCAGAUAUCAGGAGGAACACCGGUGGCGAAGGCGGGUCUCUGGGCCGAUACUGACGCUGGAGGAGCGAAAGCGUGGGGAGCAAACAGG
rnacentral:rRNA from 1 species